rnacentral:rRNA from 1 species
AUGAACGCUAGCUACAGGCUUAACACAUGCAAGUCGAGGGGCAGCAUGGUCUUAGCUUGCUAAGGCCGAUGGCGACCGGCGCACGGGUGAGUAACACGUAUCCAACCUGCCGUCUACUCUUGGACAGCCUUCUGAAAGGAAGAUUAAUACAAGAUGGCAUCAUGAGUCCGCAUGUUCACAUGAUUAAAGGUAUUCCGGUAGACGAUGGGGAUGCGUUCCAUUAGAUAGUAGGCGGGGUAACGGCCCACCUAGUCUUCGAUGGAUAGGGGUUCUGAGAGGAAGGUCCCCCACAUUGGAACUGAGACACGGUCCAAACUCCUACGGGAGGCAGCAGUGAGGAAUAUUGGUCAAUGGGCGAGAGCCUGAACCAGCCAAGUAGCGUGAAGGAUGACUGCCCUAUGGGUUGUAAACUUCUUUUAUAAAGGAAUAAAGUCGGGUAUGGAUACCCGUUUGCAUGUACUUUAUGAAUAAGGAUCGGCUAACUCCGUGCCAGCAGCCGCGGUAAUACGGAGGAUCCGAGCGUUAUCCGGAUUUAUUGGGUUUAAAGGGAGCGUAGAUGGAUGUUUAAGUCAGUUGUGAAAGUUUGCGGCUCAACCGUAAAAUUGCAGUUGAUACUGGAUAUCUUGAGUGCAGUUGAGGCAGGCGGAAUUCGUGGUGUAGCGGUGAAAUGCUUAGAUAUCACGAAGAACUCCGAUUGCGAAGGCAGCCUGCUAAGCUGCAACUGACAUUGAGGCUCGAAAGUGUGGGUAUCAAACAGGAUUAGAUACCCUGGUAGUCCACACGGUAAACGAUGAAUACUCGCUGUUUGCGAUAUACGGCAAGCGGCCAAGCGAAAGCGUUAAGUAUUCCACCUGGGGAGUACGCCGGCAACGGUGAAACUCAAAGGAAUUGACGGGGGCCCGCACAAGCGGAGGAACAUGUGGUUUAAUUCGAUGAUACGCGAGGAACCUUACCCGGGCUUAAAUUGCAGAUGAAUUACGGUGAAAGCCGUAAGCCGCAAGGCAUCUGUGAAGGUGCUGCAUGGUUGUCGUCAGCUCGUGCCGUGAGGUGUCGGCUUAAGUGCCAUAACGAGCGCAACCCUUGUUGUCAGUUACUAACAGGUUCUGCUGAGGACUCUGACAAGACUGCCAUCGUAAGAUGUGAGGAAGGUGGGGAUGACGUCAAAUCAGCACGGCCCUUACGUCCGGGGCUACACACGUGUUACAAUGGGGGGUACAGAGGGCCGCUACCACGCGAGUGGAUGCCAAUCCCAAAAACCUCUCUCAGUUCGGACUGGAGUCUGCAACCCGACUCCACGAAGCUGGAUUCGCUAGUAAUCGCGCAUCAGCCACGGCGCGGUGAAUACGUUCCCGGGCCUUGUACACACCGCCCGUCAAGCCAUGAAAGCCGGGGGCGCCUAAAGUCCGUGACCGUAAGGAGCGGCCUAGGGCGAAACUGGUAAUUGGGGCU